rfam:Arabis alpina cultivar Pajares chromosome 2, whole genome shotgun sequence.
AUGUUUCCUAGAGUUUCUCUGAGCACUUCAUUGGAUUAUAUAACAUUUUAUAUAAAAAUGUAUUACACUGAAGUGUUUGGGGGAACUCCUGGACUCAU